rnacentral:rRNA from 1 species
UGGGGAAUAUUGGACAAUGGGCGCAAGCCUGAUCCAGCAAUGCCGCGUGAGUGAUGAAGGCCUUAGGGUUGUAAAGCUCUUUCGCACGCGACGAUGAUGACGGUAGCGUGAGAAGAAGCCCCGGCUAACUUCGUGCCAGCAGCCGCGGUAAUACGAAGGGGGCUAGCGUUGUUCGGAAUUACUGGGCGUAAAGGGCGCGUAGGCGGCCUGUUUAGUCAGAAGUGAAAGCCCCGGGCUCAACCUGGGAAUAGCUUUUGAUACUGGCAGGCUUGAGUUCCGGAGAGGAUGGUGGAAUUCCCAGUGUAGAGGUGAAAUUCGUAGAUAUUGGGAAGAACACCGGUGGCGAAGGCGGCCAUCUGGACGGACACUGACGCUGAGGCGCGAAAGCGUGGGGAGCAAACAGGAUUAGAUACCCUGGUAGUCCACGCCGUAAAGCGAUGAAUGCUAGACGUCGGGGUGCAUGCACUUCGGUGUCGCCGCUAACGCAUUAAGCA